AACGAACGCUGGCGGCGUGCCUAACACAUGCAAGUCGUGCGAGAAAGUUCCUUCGGGAGCGAGUAAAGCGGCGCACGGGUGAGUAACACGUAGGUAACCUGCCCCCCAGUCUGGAACAACUAGAGGAAACUCUAGCUAAUGCCGGAUGAGACCACGAUCCCUUCGGGGGUUGCGGCCAAAGAUGGCCUCUACUUGUAAGCUAUCGCUGAGGGAUGGGCCUGCGGGCCAUUAGCUUGUUGGUGAGGUAACGGCUCACCAAGGCUGUGAUGGCUAGCUGGUCUGAGAGGAUGACCAGCCACACUGGGACUAAGACACGGCCCAGACUCCUACGGGAGGCAGCAGUGGGGAAUAUUGCGCAAUGGGCGAAAGCCUGACGCAGCGACGCCGCGUGGGUGAUGAAGGCC
rnacentral:rRNA from 1 species